UACGAAGGGGGCGAGCGUUGUUCGGAAUUACUGGGCGUAAAGGGCGCGUAGGCGGCCGAUCAAGUCAGAUGUGAAAGUCCUGGGCUUAACCUGGGGACUGCAUUUGAUACUGAUUGGCUUGAAUGCAGGAGAGGAUAGCGGAAUUCCCAGUGUAGAGGUGAAAUUCGUAGAUAUUGGGAAGAACACCGGUGGCGAAGGCGGCUAUCUGGACUGUGAUUGACGCUGAGGCGCGAAAGCGUGGGGAGCAAACAGG
rnacentral:rRNA from 3 species